rnacentral:rRNA from 1 species
GAUGAACGCUAGCGGCAGGCCUAAUACAUGCAAGUCGAACGGUGUAGCAAUACACAGUGGCGCACGGGUGCGUAACACGUAUGCAACCUACCUUACAUUGGGGGAUAGCCUUUUGAAAGGGAGAUUAAUACCGCAUAAGACAGUAACUAGGCAUCUAGUAGCUGUUAAAGAUUUAUCGAUGUAAGCUGGGCAUGCGUCCAAUUAGUUAGUUGGCGAGGUAAUGGCUCACCAAGACGAUGAUUGGUAGGGGAACUGAGAGGUCAAUCCCCCACACUGGCACUGAGAUACGGGCCAGACUCCUACGGGAGGCAGCAGUAGGGAAUAUUGGGCAAUGGGCGCAAGCCUGACCCAGCCAUGCCGCGUGCAGGAAGAAGGCGCUAUGCGUUGUAAACUGCUUUUAUACAGGAAGAAACGACCCUUGCGAGGGGCAUUGACGGUACUGUAUGAAUAAGCACCGGCUAACUCCGUGCCAGCAGCCGCGGUAAU